UGUGCAAGUGACGAUAAGAUAGACAGGGACAUCAGCACUCCUGUAGGAGGAUGAUGAUUUGUCGUUGGGAAUCUCUCUGAUGCACU